UACGUAGGGUGCGAGCGUUGUCCGGAAUUAUUGGGCGUAAAGAGCUCGUAGGCGGUGUGUCGCGUCGGCCGUGAAAACCCGCAGCUCAACUGCGGGCUUGCGGUCGAUACGGGCAGGCUCGAGUUCGGUAGGGGAGACUGGAAUUCCUGGUGUAGCGGUGAAAUGCGCAGAUAUCAGGAGGAACACCGGUGGCGAAGGCGGGUCUCUGGGCCGAUACUGACGCUGAGGAGCGAAAGCGUGGGGAGCGAACAGG
rnacentral:rRNA from 1 species